AGUGAACGCUGGCGGUAGGCCUAACACAUGCAAGUCGAACGGCAGCACAGUAAGAGCUUGCUCUUACGGGUGGCGAGUGGCGGACGGGUGAGGAAUACAUCGGAAUCUACUUUUUCGUGGGGGAUAACGUAGGGAAACUUACGCUAAUACCGCAUACGACCUACGGGUGAAAGCAGGAGAUCUUCGGACCUUUUGCGAUUGAAUUAGCCGAUGUCGGAUUAGCUAGUUGGCGGGGUAAAGGCCCACCAAGGCGACGAUCCGUAGCUGGUCUGAGAGGAUGAUCAGCCACACUGGAACUGAGACACGGUCCAGACUCCUACGGGAGGCAGCAGUGGGGAAUAUUGGACAAAGGGCGCAAGCCUGAUCCAGCCAUACCGCGUGGGUGAAGAAGGCCUUCGGGUUGUAAAGCCCUUUUGUUGGGAAAGAAAAGCAGCAGGUUAAUACCCCGCUGUUCUGACGGUACCCAAAGAAUAAGCACCGGCUAACUUCGUG
rnacentral:rRNA from 1 species